rnacentral:rRNA from 1 species
GAUUAACGCUAGCGGCAGGCAUAAUACAUGUAAGUUGAACGGCAGCACAGGUAGCACUACUGGGUGGCGAGUGGCGCACGGGUGCGUAACACGUAUGCAACCUACCCUAUACAGGCGAAUAACCUUUAGAAAUGAGGGCUAAUACGCCGUAGUAUUACAGAUGGGCAUCUAUUUGUAAUUAAAGAUUUAUCGGUAUAGGAUGGGCAUGCGUCCCAUUAGUUAGUUGGUAAGGUAACGGCUUACCAAGACGAUGAUGGGUAGGGGAUCUGAGAGGACUUACCCCCACACUGGUACUGAGACACGGACCAGACUCCUACGGGAGGCAGCAGUAAGGAAUAUUGGGCAAUGGCCGCGAGGCUGACCCAGCCAUGCCGCGUGCAGGAAGACGGCCUUAUGGGUUGUAAACUGCUUUUAUACGGGAAUAAUAGAGUGUACGCGUACAUUUAUGCAAGUAUCGUAUGAAUAAGCAUCGGCUAACUCCGUG